UGGGGAAUUUUGGACAAUGGGCGAAAGCCUGAUCCAGCAAUGCCGCGUGUGUGAAGAAGGCCUUCGGGUUGUAAAGCACUUUUUGUCCGGAAAGAAAUCCUUGGCUCUAAUACAGUCGGGGGAUGACGGUACCGGAAGAAUAAGCACCGGCUAACUACGUGCCAGCAGCCGCGGUAAUACGUAGGGUGCAAGCGUUAAUCGGAAUUACUGGGCGUAAAGCGUGCGCAGGCGGUUUUGCUAAGACCGAUGUGAAAUCCCCGGGCUCAACCUGGGAACUGCAUUGGUGACUGGCAGGCUAGAGUAUGGCAGAGGGGGGUUAGAAUUCCACGUGUAGCAGUGAAAUGCGUAGAGAUGUGGAGGAAUACCGAUGGCGAAGGCAGCCCCCUGGGCCAAAUACUGACGCUCAUGCACGAAAGCGUGGGGGAGCAAACAGGA
rnacentral:rRNA from 1 species